UCCUUACACCAUUUGAUCAGGUUAAGCACAGGUACCAGUGUGUAGUUGUGUCUGGCAUUGAUUUGCCCAAAAUACCCCCAUAAGAACACUAAGAGCAGUUGUAAGAUAUUCCCUUGGGUUUGUUCCAGAGAGGUGGUACUGUCUAUUUGUCCAGCCCAAUAGACAACACUGGACUUGGCCUUCCAAGCUCAGCUAACCAUGGCCAUCUGCCAAGAAACCCUAAUCUGAGGAUCUCACUGGAUCACUACUGGGAAGCAGACAGCAUUAUCUGUGCAGGGGAACGGCUGCUUCAAAGAAGAACAAAAGCAGAAAGCAGAAAAUUAGAGCUUCAACCAUAAAGUUCAAAGAACACGGGGAAAAAGCAUGAAAAAUAAUUUUGACACUUUGAAGUAGAACUCAAUUGUUCCAUUAAACUGUAUUUUUAAUAAAAAAUAACAAUAACAGCAUUCCAAAUAUCUAUUUUAUAAGCUUUACUAAUGUAUAUUUUUUUAAUACAUGUCAGAAAUUCUUACUUGAGGCAAAUGCAAUAUUUAUAGAAAGCAAGAGACUUCAAAACAGCUCCAGAGACUUUAAGCUCUCGAUUUAUUCACAGAUUUAGAAUAACUCAGGAAUACAAAAUGACAAAAUGUACAUUUUUUAUAUUGUUUACUAAUGUAUUGUCUCUUGUCCCUGAUCCGUCAUUUUCCUGACUGGAGGAAACACAUUCAGCUUCUUCACUGCCUUUAAUGCUACACACUUCUGGAGGGAAAUAUUCCCAUUUGGUGAAAAUCUAUCACAAUUCUGUCUUGCAGAAUAUCACUCCCCGAGAAUUAUGUGAAGAUCAUUAAUAAAUACAUUUUUGCAAUGACAGUCAUUUCUUCUUUGCUCAUGAUUUGUAUCUAUUAUUUGCCUCAGCCUCUCCAGUUCCCAGAGAAGCUGCUGGUGAGAGUGAGGACCAGAAGAGGCAGUGCAGCUUCAGACCAAGGCCAGAAUGGAGGCUGGCCAGUGGCUAUAAACGUUAACAAGACGUCAGUAGUCAGCUAACCCGAGUUAGACACGUCCCUGGUUGUGGAAAGAAGCUCUCCCUGUCUGUCAAAGGCCACUUCCACGAUGUGUUGGCAGUGUUUGGAAGUGAGGAACACGCUUUCUGGAGGAUGGCUUUGGGAGCCAGCAGGUCCGUGUCUCUCCUCCAAGAUCAAACACUGUCUGGCUGUGUGGCCCCAUGCACGCCACAGAACCACAUCAUCCUGAGACUGAUCCUGGGUGGAAGAAAGGCCCAUCCUGUGCAGGGCCCGCUCACAGCCCCUGCACCCAACCCAGUCAGACACUGCUGAGGGAUGCCACAAGCUGCCAACCAGCAGAGAAUGGGUAAGAAAAUGAGAAAGUGGUCAAAAUAUUCUUUCUUUUACCACUGCAAAUCUUUAAUUUUUCAAAAACAACAAUUCUAGACCCACAAAAACACAUUGUUUAAAAAAUACCAGAUAUUGGCUUGUUUUAUAUAUUCAGCCUGUGUGAUGCUCUUCAGUCUGGAGGCAUGGCUGAAACUAUGACAUUUCCACCAUUCCUUCCUUCCUCUUCAGUCAGCAGGUGAGCAGGUGUGUUUCCCUUUUCCUGCCAGUUUCACUUCCAUUCUCAUGUGGUUUUUCAUCAUAUUACAGUGCACCUAUACUUUUACAGCCAUACCUAAACACUGCUAUAACAGAACACCAAGAAGUUUCGGAGCAGCCAGUCUAUGACACCCUACCUGUGACACAGGCACAACAUCACUCCAAGAAGGAUGAUGGGAAACAGUGAGAAGCCUAAGAGAGCCCUGCAGCAUGACCUCAGGUCUGCUGUUCUGGGCCCUGGUGGAACAAAGGUGUGAGAUUCAGUUGCAAAUAUCUAAGCACAAUAGUGGAAUUUUCAAACCAAUACAUUCUGCGAAGGAACCAUAAACACUUUUGAACUUCUUUUUAUUUCAGCACCAUGUAAGUUUUAGCGUGAAAAUUGUUUGAUGUUCUUCUACAAAGUAAUCUAGCCUCUGAUUUUGGGGUGUGAAUUUAUUCCACAUACUUCACUAAGUGCCUAGCAGAGGUCACUGGGAAGCAAAGGAAUUUGUAACCCACAUACACAAAUAACUAUAUGCACAGCAUGAUACAGAUCUGUGCAGGCACGGGGUUAUUUUUCUUUUCCAAGAAAAUCCUGGAUCAGAAUUAGUCAAAAAGACAUGUUACCCUGGCAAAAGAUAAGUCCAGAGCUCUCCCAAGUGUACUGCUGCUGAAUCAACAGCUAGAGCUCUCAGCCAGCUCAGUGCUGCACUAGACAGACAGUAAUAAAGGAUGUAUUUUAGCUACCCAAAUUGCAGCAGCAAAAAUAUGCCAUGAAAUGAGUAACUGUUGAAAGAUGAUUAGCACACCAGUUCAGAGCACUGCUACAGGGUGUUUCUUUUCUCCUUAGACUUUCCCUGAUGUUUCCAACUUCUGCCCAAGUCCUGCUCAACUGAAAGAUUUCAGGACUUGAUGAAAGACCACAAAUUUUGCCUACUCCAUAACCUAACAACUUUAAGGUUAUGCUUCUGGUUGGACCCACAUGGACUCUGCAAAGGCACAGUGUCUGCCCAGGAUCUGCCCAGGAACUACAGACCUCAACUGUAGUACAUUGAACCACAGGUGUCAUCAGGGCUGCAUUUCCUCUAGGAACAACCUGCUCCCCCUGUGAUGGCUACUGACGUUCAGAGAAACGGUUACGGUGUUUUGGCAAAAAUCAUUUUGCAAACUACAGUAAAUGAACAUUGCUGGGCUCAGCUGGAAUCCACAGGAGUGGAUGCAUCCACAGUCAUUUCAGUCAGUACCAUCCAAAAGUGUAACUCAGGGACUAAACAUCAACAACUUAAAAGUGAGCGUAAGUGCUGGGAUCUUUAUUUCCCUGGUGUCUCAAGUUCCGACUCUGACUCCUCACACAGGGCCUUGACUCCAGCUGCUGGGCUUUAAGAAAAAACAGAGACUGUUCAAAGGCAUGUGACAAAAUCAUGCAAGUUGGUAAAAGCAGAGCCGGAGGGGUAGAAGAAACUGGUGAGUCAGCUUGUCACAGAAAUGCAUUUAGAGUUAAACUGGCUGUAAAUCUCAAUAGGGACUAUGUGUUCUGGGGCACUAGGCCAAAAUAUGCCCAAGAGCCUCCAGCUCCAUAUGACAGAAGUAGCUCUAUCACGCAAACAAACACUUUUCUGAGCAAAGGAUUUUAGUUGAGAGAGCAAACAGGCCUUUGUGAGCCUUUCACCGCAAAUGGCUGGUGUCCAGUUUGGGAUAUUCUCUUAAAUGUAAAUAAGGAAAUACAUGCUGUUAAGAAUUCUGGUUAAACUGAACAAUAAAAAUAAUGGGCAUUUGUUUGUAUGGAAACUACCUGGGGUCAUAAUGUCUAGGGCAAAAUCACUACUGCCUUGGUAUCUAGAAAAGUGGUUACCAGUGUUCCCCAUGCCCACCUGCUGCCUGGGUAAAACAGAACUGAUGCCACUCUACCAGAUCCUGCAGAAUCCCAGAGAGCUACUUCCCAAAGCAUUUGAGCUGGUGCUUUUCACUGGAGCAAGACUUGUUCAGUUCCCAUGCAAGGGAUGGCAGGAUGUGAGCUUUGGAUCCUGGGGAAAACUGUGCAAAAUCCUAUCCAUUCCCCUCCCCUCUGUGACCUGGCCUGGCUGCUGAUGCUGCUAAGGUCUGUGCCUUGAAGUACUGCAGGGCCUUGGAAUAACUCAGUUCCAUCAGUUCCUGACAUUUCCAUGUUCACAGCUGCUGCAGGAGCAAGGCUGUCAUCAGGGCCCAGUGCAGCAACCGCAUCGGGGACACAGGGGAAGGCUGCUCAUGCUUUGGACAUGCUGGAUGAGCAGGACCCACAAGCUCCUGUGCCAAGGGAGCUCCUUUUCUCUCUGAUACUUUGUCUUAGCAGGACCUCACAUAUUCGCAUCUUGCUCCAGUGCUCAUUCACAAGGCUGACACGUAUGGCUGUACCCUGUGUGGCCCCUGCUAAUUCAUGACAACACUAGUGACUGACAAGAGCUGGCACCUUCCCCAUCAACACACACUGUGGGCCAGCAUGAGCAGCAAAUCUACACUCGAGGAAUCUCUUAAAGUAAACACUGAAGUGAGUGCUUGUGGCUGUAUCUUGCAAGCACUGCUCAACAGACUUGGCUCCUGGGGUUGGAGUAUAUCAUCUCCAGUGUGAGCCUUGCUGAAGUUAAUAUUAAUGCUACAGCUAACCCAGCCAUCUGCUGCACAAGGCAAAGAGCAGUUUAUAGCAGAAAAGUCCCUGCAGCCUAUUAGUUCCCUGCAAGACAGCAGUCUCAUCCUUCCAGAUGUGCGCUCUGGCACUGAACUCCAGAGCAUCUGAGCACUGCAGAGCUGGCAAGCUCUACACAUGCCAAACAUGUGUCAGAAACACUUCAGAGGAGCUUUGCUCUUGCUGCUCAUCCCGUGCUGUUCCGGACACGACCACAAACAGCACUGUGGCACACCAGGGUUCUCGCUGUCAGGAGUGACAGUUUGAAGCCACCCUGACAGUGCUCAAUGCUGGCCGUGCUGAGCCCUGCACAAGCUCAGGCUGAUGGUUCUGGCUGUGCUGAGGCUGAGCGAGAGGUGCUGGCUGCAAGCAUGCUCCACAUCUCAUCACCCAGGCAGGGAUGUGGUGCAGAGGGACCUGGCUCCCCUCCACGUUGCUUUCCCUCCCCACAAGCGAGGACUGAAGUAUGCUGCUGUGCACUGGGGUUUUGUGGAGAUGUGGGUCUGGGUGCAGCCCAGGUACAGGCUCAGACUGGGAGACUGCUUUGCUGGGCUGGGCUGGGCUUACAGAUUCUCUCAUAUCCUUGGUUCACAGGUAGCUUUGAAAAAACACACAUGAACCAGCCCUGCCAGGUGAAAAAUAAAGGCUCCUGAUUGCUAUCAUUAUUAUUAUACCACUAGACAUUUUAUUAACACUAAAGUGUGACAUUUCCCUCCAAAGAAAGGCCUUCUUCUGCCCUUCUGCAUGGCUACUUUAUUGAAUCCAAACUCCGUUUCCGAGGAUCUUCACCUGUUUAAACGCUGCUGUGUUUCUAAAAGCAAUUUAACCUUUCAUCUUUUAUGGAUGGAUCCUUUUUUAACAAAAAUCCUAUAGGGCCAUUUUUCUCCUCAUCUCCGUGUGAUCUCAGUGAUAUUACGUGAUGUAGCUUUUGAAGAAGAAAUGCCGAAACAGCAGCUUCACCACCUGCAGUUAAUGCAGCAGGAAGACGGAAAAGGCAACCUGGAAAAUUCCCUUUUCAACAUUUCUCUCACAAGCUCCUGGUAAGAAUCCCCCAAACCGACAAUGUCUCUUGCAUGGAAAUGAGGGGCAAGUGCUGAGGAAGGAGAGAAUGGCCUGGAGAUUUUGCCCAUGUAAAAGCCAUCAGUUUGUUUUCCAGCCUCGCAGCCUCUCAUUGCAUCAAUGACUCAAGCACCACCCAGCUUUAAGUAUUUAUUUUUGGCAGUGGCUGCGUGCUGUCCAAGGUAACUCAGUCUCCUGGGAUGAAGAAAGCCGUUCUGAACACAGCCAGUGCCCGAGAGGUGCAAUGUUUAGAGACAGAACUGUUUUCAAGGCAUUGUUGGAUGAUUUUACUGCUUACUUACCUCAUGGCUCACAGGGGAUUCUUGGUUCAAUAAAAACCAGACAACUACA